CUUGACGACCAUAGAGCGUUGGAACCACCUGAUCCCAUCCCGAACUCAGUAGUGAAACGACGCAUCGCCGAUGGUAGUGUGGAGUUUCUCCAUGUGAGAGUAGGUCAUCGUCAAGCU
rnacentral:rRNA from 1 species